rnacentral:rRNA from 1 species
UGGCGAACGGGGUGAGUAACACGUGGGCAACCUGCCCAAAAGAGGGGGAUAACACUUGGAAACAGGUGCUAAUACCGCAUAACCAUAGUUACCGCAUGGUAACUAUGUAAAAGGUGGCUAUGCUACCGCUUUUGGAUGGGCCCGCGGCGCAUUAGCUAGUUGGUGGGGUAAAGGCUUACCAAGGCAAUGAUGCGUAGCCGAACUGAGAGGUUGAUCGGCCACAUUGGGACUGAGACACGGCCCAAACUCCUACGGAAGGCAGCAG